GGAUCAUUACUGAGUUGUCCUCCGAGGACACUCCCUUCACACCCCUUGUGAACAUACCGUCGUUGCCUCGGUGGGCGCGUUACCACGCCCGCCGGCGGCCCCUUUACCUAAAUUCUGUUAAUCUUACUACUUCUGAACCUAUAACAAAUCAUGUUAAAACUUUCAACAACGGAUCUCUUGGUUCUGGCAUCGAUGAAGAACGCAGCGAAAUGCGAUACGUAAUGUGAAUUGCAGAAUUCAGUGAAUCAUCGAAUCUUUGAACGCACAUUGCGCCCGCUGGUAUUCCAGCGGGCAUGCCUGUUCGAGCGUCAUUUCAACCCUUAAGCCCCUGCUGCUUAGUGUUGGGAGCCUACCCCGCCAUGCCGCCCGCGGUAGCUCCCCAAAGCGAGUGGCGGAGCCGGCCCGUGCUCUAGGCGUAGUAGAUUUUCAUCUCGCCUCUGUAAGCCGGGUCUGGUCUUUCCUGCCGUAAAACGAAGAGAACACACCUUGUCUUCUCUAUGGUUGACCUCGGAUCAGGUAGGAAUACCCGCUGAACUUAAGCAUAUCAAUAAGCGGAGGAAAAGAAACCAACAGGGAUUGCCUCAGUAACGGCGAGUGAAGCGGCAACAGCUCAAAUUUGAAAUCUGGCUUUCGGGUCCGAGUUGUA
rnacentral:rRNA from 1 species